UACAGAGGUGGCAAGCGUUGUUCGGAAUUACUGGGCGUAAAGGGCGCGUAGGCGGCCUUCUAAGUCAGACGUGAAAUCCCCCGGCUUAACCUGGGAACUGCGUCUGAUACUGGGAGGCUUGAGUAUGGGAGAGGGAUGUAGAAUUCCAGGUGUAGCGGUGAAAUGCGUAGAUAUCGGGAGGAACACCGGUGGCGAAGGCGGCCCCCUGGUUGGAUACUGACGCUGAGACGCGAAAGCGUGGGGAGCAAACAGG
rnacentral:rRNA from 1 species